UAAUACGGAGGAUCCAAGCGUUAUCCGGAUUCAUUGGGUUUAAAGGGUGCGUAGGCGGAAUGAUAAGUCAGCGGUGAAAUCCCUCGGCUUAACUGAGGAACUGCCGUUGAUACUGUCAAUCUUGAGUACAUUUGAUGUGGGCGGAAUGUGUCAUGUAGCGGUGAAAUGCUUAGAUAUGACACAGAACACCGAUUGCGAAGGCAGCUCACAAAACUGUAACUGACGCUGAGGCACGAAAGCGUGGGUAUCAAACAGGAUUAGAUACCCUGGUAGUCCACGCCCUAAACUAUGAUUACUCGAUGUUAGCGAUAUACAGUUAGCGUCCAAGCGAAAGCGUUAAGUAAUCCACCUGGGGAGUACGACCGCAAGGUUG
rnacentral:rRNA from 1 species